rnacentral:rRNA from 1 species
AUUGAACGCUGGCGGCAUGCCUUACACAUGCAAGUCGAACGGUAACAGGUCUUCGGAUGCUGACGAGUGGCGAACGGGUGAGUAAUACAUCGGAACGUGCCCGAGAGUGGGGGAUAACGAGGCGAAAGCUUUGCUAAUACCGCAUACGAUCUCAGGAUGAAAGCAGGGGACCGCAAGGCCUUGCGCUCACGGAGCGGCCGAUGGCAGAUUAGGUAGUUGGUGGGAUAAAAGCUUACCAAGCCGACGAUCUGUAGCUGGUCUGAGAGGACGAUCAGCCACGAUGGGGAUGAGGCAGCGCCCAGACUCCUACGGGAGGCUGCAGGGGGGAAUCUUGGGCAAUGGGCCAAAGCCUGACGCAGCGACGCCGCGUGCGGGAAGAAGGCCUUCGGGUUGUAAACCGCUUUCAGGAGGAACGAAGCCACUCGGGUUAAUAGCCCAGAGGGUGACGGUACCUCCAGAAGAAGCCCCGGCUAACUACGUGCCAGCAGCCGCGGUAAAAC